GGCCCCCAGGUAGUACCCCAGGGCCGGAGAUCCUCACGACCCCCUCAGGAAGGCCGCGUGGGGAGAAGCUGCCCGGGUGGGCGUCCACUCCCCGCUCUUCCAUAGCGAUGCUGCGGUAAUAGGAGGGCUUGUGGGACAGAGGCGGCACCUGGAAGCUUCCUGGGGCUGAGGCCUGGGGAGGCUGCGAGCCCCGCUCUGGCCCCUCCCUGUUUUUCUCUAGUAGCUCGUUCUUCUUCCGGAAGGAUCAAAGCCCGGACAGAAGGGUUUUGUAUACACUGGGGCUCCAUGCUGGGUGUGGACUUGGGACUUGAACACACCACCCAACACAGAACUUGGACUUGACCUCAUCAAGAUUGGGAUGCUUAACUGACCAGCCACCCAGGAACCCCUGCAUAAUGCUUUUAAAAGUUCAUGUUGUAACACGUGUCAGAACAUAAUUCCUUUUCCAUUUUAUUGUAUUUUAUUUACUUUAAAUUGUGACAUAGCACACAUAAAAUUUACCAUCUUAAAAGUUGUAAGUACAUUAGCACUGUUGUGCACUCAA